rnacentral:lncRNA from 1 species
UUUUAAAAAUCUCCUAGCCGAUAUAAUAUUAACCCCAGGCUUAUCCCAUAGCCAGUGUCAAUAUUCAGUUUCCUUCUUAACAGACCGCCUAGCGAAGCACUGGGAGUGGAAAAUAAAGGAUACACUGGUGAUGAGCAGCAGACAAGAACUGAGCCCAUAUUACCUGACAUUCAUCCCCUACAUGUAAGAAAAUAUCAUUUAUAACAUUUUCAGCUUACCCUGAGAGUUCCCCAUAUGAAAACGCAGAAUGCUAAUAUAAGGUUUAAAUAAGAAAAUGUAUGUAAAUGCAUUUAGCACAGUGUUUGGAAUAUAUUUAGCACUUAAUAUGUGUUAAUUAUCUACUAUGCCUCGUGUGCUGCACUGUCGCAGUUUCUUUCCUAAUUACAUUUUCUUUAAAUUAAUAUGCAAAACAGUUGCACUCCCAGAGAAAGGAGACAAGUGAAGGUAGCCUGAGCAUGCGAUCAAUGAUAAAUUGUCACCAGAGAUUUAGAUAGAGCCUGGGGCAUAUGUGUUACUUCUAAAACACAAAAUCCUGAAGGGCUUUUGACUUUAGUUAAAUGAGGGAACUCAGAAAAUAAGCUUACUGAAUAUUUGUUAAAUACAUGAAUGAAUUUAAUUCACCAUAUACUGUAUUAUAAAUAAGACAGUUUAGGAGAGUUUGGGUCCUCAAAUCUCUUGUUGAUGUUUUUUGUAUUAUUUGGCAUGAAAUUAUAGAAGUAAUAAUGAUUUAGCUGAUGCCAGUUUGUUACAUUAGUUACCUGUCAAAGGCCAGUUCUCAGCAAAACUGUGGUUUGAGAAAACCGUGUUUGGUGUCCUCUCCCAGUUGCAAUUAGGAUGCUUGGUUAGUUUUUCUCUCCGGCACCCAGUGCUUCUCCUGGAUCCUGUUUCCCCUGAACCAUGAUUUCUGGUUGUAUUGACAUCCAAUGGGGGUUAGCAGAAAACAUUUCAAAGAGAGUAACUUCAGCCAGGCAUAUCUGUAUUACAAUAGUGAGUUCUGGAAAUCCUCAAAGACCGCCAGGAUCCAAAGGGAUGUAGCUGGUUGUGGAAUUUCAGGCAUGCAGACCAUUAGAGAUACUAAGAUUUGGAGGCUAGCCGACUGGACUUGUGCUCCUCAGAUCAUAACCUGUGAAGAAACUCCCACUCUUCCCCUAUGCAUGUUGCCAUAUAGCGAAGAACCGCGGAGUCCCUGGCGAGACUUCCAACCAGCUUCUCGAGUCCGCACUACAUCACGCUGGUAAGGACAGUCCCUGGGCCCCUUUGUGUUGGUUGUGUGAGUCUGUGUCCAGUCCACUGAUCAUCUGAACGGCUCCUCAUUUCCUUGAAAAGGUCCAAUCAGAGAACCCAGCUCUCCGAUCUG